CAUGGCUCAGGAUGAACGCUAGCGGCAGGCCUAAUACAUGCAAGUCGAACGAGCUUAGUUCUUUCGGGAACUAGGUUAGUGGCGCACGGGUGCGUAACGCGUAUGCAACUUACCUUCCACAGGGGGAUAGCCCACCGAAAGGUGGAUUAAUACCGCAUAACAUCAUUUGAGGGCAUCCGAAGAUGAUCAAAGCUGCGGCGGUGGAAGAUGGGCAUGCGUGCCAUUAGCUAGUUGGUAGGGUAACGGCUUACCAAGGCGACGAUGGCUAGGGGUUCUGAGAGGAUGGUCCCCCACACUGGUACUGAGACACGGACCAGACUCCUACGGGAGGCAGCAGUAGGGAAUAUUGGGCAAUGGCCGAGAGGCUGACCCAGCCAUGCCGCGUGCGGGAAGAAGGCCUUCUGGGUUGUAAACUGCUUUUAUCUAGGAAGAAAACGCCCUUGCGAGGGUAACUGACGGUACUAGAUGAAUAAGCACCGGCUAACUCCGUGCCAGCAGCCGCGGGUAAUACGGAGGGUGCAAGCGUUGUCCGGAUUUAUUGGGUUUAAAGGGUGCGUAGGCGGGCCCUGUAAGUCAGUGGCGAAAUCCCAGGCUCAACCCUGGAACUGCCAUUGAUACUGCAGGCUUGAGUUCGGGUUAAAGGCGGGCCGGAAACUGGGUGGUUGUAGCGGUGAAAUGCAUAGAUACCACCAAGGAACCCCGAAUUGCGUAGGCAGCUCCGCUGGAGCCNAACUGACGCUGGAGCAACGAAAG
rnacentral:rRNA from 1 species